AACAAUCGAAACUGAAUUUAUGUAAACACACACAUAUAUAAAUGUGCAAGAUGGUAGUAAUAAGAAGGAAACCUGCUACAAACUGAAAGCUGCAUGCAACAAUUCAGAUAAGAGAGAAUCGGAACCUAAACAUCAAAUGAUUUGAAGCUGACUACCACUACUCGAUUGUUGCUACUCAACAAAAGGUGAGGUGAUGCUGACUUUCCCGUCCGCAGUUUAGACAUGAUGGUGACCUCCUCGCUGUAAUAAAUUUACAUGGAACUGAAGAGGAACUCAUCUUCCUGUAGGAGACAGUCUUCACGUUGAUUUAAUUGGUGUGCUCUACCCAGAGGACCCUACAGAUAUUCAUGAUAUUGGUAAUAGCAGGGGGAAAUUAAUGUGAUUUUUGCACCGGUGUGAGGCAAAAAGAUGAAUCAAAGGUGCAAACACUUCAUCUGGUUCUCAUAUAGUUACUGAAAUCCACAAAGGAUUUCGAAAAGAAUGAAAGAGACAAAAAUAACAGGGUGAUUACAGUAGAUAUAUAGUAGUUCUCAUAUAGUUAUAUCAUUUUGUGACAAAAUUGGCAGAAUAUUCAGUUAUAUUUACCAUUGCAUAUUACCAAGAAAAUUGUAGAACCCCCCAAACAAUCCUCCUCGAGCACUUUCUAGUGGACUCUAUCUCUCAAAUCUUCGGUCUAAUAAGAGGAAUGAUGAUAAUUAAGAGCAUAAACUUCUUUAAAAGAAAAAUACUAAGAAAACUAAUAUAAAGGUCAAGUAAAUUUUCAUAUACGCUAAUAAUUGUACGCUCAUGCUGUCCAUGUUGAUAAAUACACUCUAUGGUAAUGCACAAAGGAUUACAAAUUGAUAUCCUAAUUUAUCCUAGGAUGAGCUGUCCAGUUUGAUUGGCAUGAUUUCACGCAUUAAUAAUAAUUAACUGCCACCGCAGGUAAAUUACCACACUUUUCAUUGGUGCAUGUUCAUAUAUUGUUCCUCAAAUGCGAACUUGGUCCUAAGAUGGAAUCUAAUAGCCAGAUAUGGUAGUUAUAGUAGUAUAACAGGUAGCUAAAUACAGCAGGACCAACACAUUCAGUAGCCACGACAUUCUGUCAUCGUGUUUGGGAGUCUGAAAUUUUGCAACGAAGGAGGUGGCCAAUACUAAGAUUUUUUUCCCCAUCCAUGCAUCAUGUGGUUUCUCUGUUCCAUCAGAAAAAACAAACACUAAUUUCCCUAUUUGGCUGUUCCAGAUACAAUUUACAUCAAGAAAGAAUUUCAAUUAGCGACCAUGUAGCCACCGUUAGUGUGUGCAUAUGAGAAAAAAAAUCAGCAAAUAGCAUGCUUAAUUUAGUUCCAUCUAACAUGUUCACAGAACUUAGCAAAUCUAGCAUCCAAUCUCCCUGUUGUGCAUCCAUGCACUAAAUCACUAAGUAUCAUCCAGAAGGAACAAAAGAAAAUAAGGCAGAUAAAGCCAAACCUGGGGGUUGGAGCCUUGGAGGAUUGACACCAUUACAGGGCGCUUGUCAUACCUUAUCCGUAAUCCGAUCUCUCACGAAUACAUAUUGUACAAGUCGUACGCCUCGCCAAGUGAGUAGAAACUAAGACAUAGUUCAGGACAAACUACACUUUUCAUCGCUUCCUCUGCAUACUUGCGAGUUGACUGCUCUAGGGCACUCAUCCAAGAUGGACACUGUUUUCUGUCCGGCAGCGCACUCCCAAGAUGUAAUCUGAUUUUCCAGUGAAUAAAAUCUUUGUAAGUUUCCACAGGAGGGAACACAGGAGCUCCAAAAUGAAAUGUUGGCAAGCAGGACUGCUGGAUGAAUAUCAGAUGCGACCACACCUUACAUGCCACCAUGCUUCCAUUUUUCAAGAAACAUAUUCAAAUGUUUUAAAAAAAAAAAACAAGAUUUUGAGCGCCCACAAGGCAUGUGCCUACAAUCUAUAAAGUUUUCACAUAAAACUUGCCAGGAAACAGAAAAGACAAAUUCAGUAUGAAUGGUGUCCUAAAAUAUACAAAAGCCAGAGUGACAAUAUUCACAAUCAGAUUUGUCAUAUUUGUUUCUACGAGUGCAUUUCGAGUCUUGACUUGAACUUCUUACAUAUUGUAUACACAUGCCUUCUGGAGUCUGGACACUGCAACUUUUCCACAAUUUUCCGCAGCAUCUAAAUGUCCUUUUCUAAAAACUGUAUCAUGGGACCAUCUACGGUGUGGGAGCAUAAGCAAUCUCCCCCAGAACUAUCUAUUCGCAUCCUACACCACAUGAACGAACAUUUUCAUCCUAUUUGGUCAGCGGGUCGUACUUACAACUAGCAUGGCAGCGAAUUUCACCCCCGUCGUACGACGGCAGAGCAGCAUUCAACAAAACGAUAAAACAGGUGGCCAGGAUUGGCUUCAGGCCGUACCUUUUUGUCCAUCCAGG
rnacentral:lncRNA from 1 species